UAACAAAUUAAUAUUAGCAAUGAACACAUACGCUUACUAAAUGUCAAGCAGAUUUCUAAGCAUGUUUAUACAUAUUAAAUUGCUUCAUAUUUACAACUCUAUAAAGUAAAUAGCAGUAUUACGAAUGAGAAAACCAAGACAUUCGGAAAUUAAGUAACUUGAGGAAGGUCUCAAAAUUAGUAAUUGGCAGACUUAGCAUUUAGAGCCAGAUAAUCUGGCUCCAGAGUUCAUACUCACUAGUUAGAGAAAGAAGAAACACAUGUCACACACACAUACACAUUCAAACAGCAAAGUAGACAUUCAAUAUUUUCCACAAUUGGGGCCCAAUUGACUUCCCCCGAUUUAUCACUUAUUACUUCUCUAGGUUCGGAGAAAAAGUUCCUUUUGAAAGGAGGAUUCCAACUUGGAGUAAGAGGGAAGAAACAGCGUUUCCGUGCCAGGCCCAACUAGGUCUACAACAGGAUAGUUAAAGAGCUCAUUCAGAAGGCUUCAACCGACUAGGUGUGCAGUUACUCGGGCCUCGGUCCCCUGGGCACAGUACCUGGAAUCGAGCUGCGUCUGCCGAGAAACGUCUCGUGUCGAAUUUGGCCCCUGCGCCGAGCCGGCGAAAGAGAUCGUGGACGUCCAUCUUUACCCAGAAAGCGCCACCGUUCUACAGCGCCUGCGCAGAUUACUUCCCGGGCCUCUGACAGCGUCGGAAGAGGGCGUGAGCGUAAUUGGCUCCCGUAGGCGGAGCCUGGCUGGGACAGAACUGAAGUAAAUAUCGCAAGGACCAAUGCUGACCUCACGGUGGCACUCCAGUCUUGGAAUAAAGGGCUCUCUGGAAUCAUCUUAUUGACCUCCAAAUGGACAGUCCACAUUGAAAUGAAGAGUUGACAUGAAUUCUGGGCCCAUAGACCCCACAGUUUAAUUUCCUGAAGAGAAUCUACCAAGGAAUUUGCUUUUCUGUUUUUAAAUCAGCUCUGGCAUAAGGCUGGAUCAAUAGAAUCGGUGUAUAGUAUGCCAGAAUGUCUCCAUCCAUAAAAAAUUUCAUCAGGGUUCAAAACUAACCAAAAUAAUAUCACCAUUAUUAUUUAUUAAUAGAUACCAUUUGUUGAA